CGACGUCGAGCGGAAAUGACGCUAAACACCCCUGGAGAGUGGAGACUGGCAGGCAGGAAGGAGAAGGUGAAGAAAAAAAAGGAAAGGAAGAAGAAAAAAAACAGAAUGCUCCAUCCGAGAACCAACCAAUGCAGCUCGCAACGUUUGCUCCCUAUCUCUACUUGAACGAACCAAAUCUUUGGUCGCAAGUCGGGAAAAAAAAGCAUGGCAAGAGAAAGAAGCAUGUGUGUACUGCUGUACAGUGUCCACUCUUGCUCCGUGUUGGUGGUGGUGGAUUGGAUCCGGACUCCACUCCAGAGCCCUACUGCUGCUGCGGCGCGCUAGCUAAUUACAGUUAGUUACAGGCGCACAUCUAUCAUCGCUGUGUGUGAUGGUUGAGCAGGG
rnacentral:misc_RNA from 1 species